GGCGUAUUGUGCUAUACUCCUGAAAAAGAAUGGACAGUACCAGCAGAGAGCAAAGCCCCUCUCCCACAACAGCAUGGACGGCCUGGCGAGUGUGCAGCGUUUCAGCCUAAAGACUGCCCAACAGGCCCUAACAAGAAACAGCAGGUCACAAAAGAAGAGGAGGUGCUGGAGUUUGGGGGAACUGCUGCCUAUUCCCAGAAGAAACCCCCGAGUGCUGGUCAGGUUUGUCAGCGUGACCCAAGCUGGAAGAGGGAACCUCAGCUGAGAAGUGGCGUUCCUCAGUUUAGCCUGUGUGCAAGCCCAUGGCGGCAUUUUCUUGACUGAUGAUCGGUGGAAGGGCCCAUCCCUCUGUGGGCUGUGCCACCCCUGGGUGGGUGGUCCUGAGGUAACUAUGAAAGCAUUGUCACAGGUCAUGAAGAUCAACCCAGUAAGCAGGGUUCCGCUGUGGUUUCUGCUUCAGUUCUUGCCUCAGUUUCCUUUCCUGCUGUUACACCCCAAGCUGGUUUUGGUCAUGGUCACAGCAAUGAGUGUGACUAGGACAAAGAGUAGUAUCACAGCCCCGCACCAGCCUUUGCCAGUCCUGUCCUGCCCAGUCCCGGCCCCCUUUACUUGGCUGUUCUGUGAACAGAGCUCCCUUUUUCUACCCUUUGGCCCCUGCAGCUUUUUCUACCCCAGCUCUGUCUCUGGUCCUUCCCAGAGGCAGCUGAAGGCGCCCUUUGCUUGGUCAUGGAAAAACCAAAGAGUUAGGUUGCCUGGGUCAGUUGCCAGACAGGGAAACUAGGAUUUUUUUUUUUUUCCUUCCUCAGUCUUUCUACAACCCCCACUUGCUAAUCCAGAUAAUUCUCAGGAGAUAUCCAAGAAGAUUUUACUCCACACAGCUUCGCCCCACCAAUCACAUGACACUACACAGCUGAACCACUGCCAGCCCUGGAACCAUCCUCCAGCAACAGAAGCACCAAGGAUGCUGGUGUCCUGCUUGCUGGCAGCCUGCGACAUUUCAGACCUUAGGGAAAGAGCCAGAGCAGUAGCCCAACUCAGUCUUGACGCUUUGGGAGGACUUCUGUCAGAGAGCAGACAAGCAUAUUGGCUGCCAUUAACAAGAAGGGUUGUCCCCCUCAUCCGGAAUGUGUACCUGGGCUUGCCCCAGGUGUCUGGGGAGAGAUCCCUUAGGUCCUUAUUGAAUAGUGGGAGACAGAU